UGUAUUGAAUGGUGGAUUUGACUUAACUAAGGAUUGAGUCAAUAUUACGGACACGUUGAGGCUUCAUGACUUAGAGACCAAUCGCUGCAUUAUACUUGAGAAGCAUUGGACAAUAGUUAUCCACUCAUCGGAAUAGCAUGGCCUAAUAUUUUGGGCACGAUGAGGUGUGCGCAUAUCGAUGGAACUGCAGUAUCCACUAGAAACCC
rnacentral:lncRNA from 1 species